AUACGGAGGAUGCAAGCGUUAUCCGGAUUUAUUGGGUUUAAAGGGUGCGCAGGCGGGAAAUUAAGUCAGUGGUGAAAUCCUACAGCUUAACUGUAGAACUGCCAUUGAUACUGAUUUUCUUGAGUGCAGUUGAGGUAGGCGGAAUGUGUAAUGUAGCGGUGAAAUGCUUAGAUAUUACACAGAACACCGAUUGCGUAGGCAGCUUACUAAACUGUUACUGACGCUCAGGCACGAAAGCGUGGGGAGCGAACAGGAUUAAAAACCCCAGUAGUCC
rnacentral:rRNA from 1 species